UUGAACGCUGGCGGCAUGGCUAAAACAUGCAAGUCGAACGAGGUUUAUUUCUUCGGAUAUGGACCUAGUGGCGAAAGGGCGAGUAAUGCAUUUCUGACGUACCCCGAGGUUCAGGAUAGCCCAGGGAAUCCUGGAGUAAUACUGGAUGCGGUCAACGGGUCUAGAAGCCGUUGAUCAAAGGAGCAAUCCGCCUUGGGCGCGGGAAAUGUCCUAUCAGGUUGUUGGUGGGGUAAUGGCCUACCAAGCCGAAGACGGGUAGCGGGUGUGAGAGCACGGCCCGCCGCAUCGGGACUGAGACACUGCCCGGACUCCUACGGGAGGCUGCAGUAACGAAUAUUCCACAAUGCGCGAAAGCGUGAUGGAGCAAUGCCGCGUGCAGGAUGAAGGCCCUCGGGUUGUAAACUGCUGUCAGGGUUUAGGAACACAAUGACCAGACCCAAAGGAAGAGACGGCUAACUCUGU
rnacentral:rRNA from 1 species